UACGUAGGGGGCAAGCGUUGUCCGGAAUCAUUGGGCGUAAAGGGUGCGUAGGCGGCGCGGUAAGUCGGGUGUGAAAUCUCGGAGCUUAACUCCGAAACUGCAUUCGAUACUGCCGUGCUUGAGGACUGGAGAGGAGACUGGAAUUUACGGUGUAGCGGUGAAAUGCGUAGAUAUCGUAAGGAAGACCAGUGGCGAAGGCGGGGUCUCUGGACAGUUCCUGACGCUGAGGCACGAAGGUCAGGGGGAGCAAACGGG
rnacentral:rRNA from 1 species